AAAACGCCCUGCUGGUCCGGAUUAACAUAACCCCACCCCUACAGGCACUCUAUAACACAAACACCCUGUGACGAUCGUCACAGUAUAAUAGAAGGUGGUAAGAAUGUCCUUAUUAACUCCAAACAAUUUAAAUUAAUACAAUGUGCUCAUGUUUUACAGAGUUAACAAAUAAGGGAAAAAAUGCAGUCUCACAGACACUGCAGGAUGUGAAGACUAAACUUGAAAAAAUCACAACUCUUCAGGAGGACCAUAACACAAAGCACACAAGAAAUAAAGAGUUUGAAGAUAUUUCACAAAAAGUAAAAGACAACACUCAGUGUAUGAUAAAGCUUCAAACUGAGGUCAAGACUUUGCAAAGACACGUAUUUUCACAGACAUCUGGUGAGUCUCAUUCUACACAAAAAAGUUCCUAUUUUGUGAUACUAGGUUUUGCAGGUGCAAACAUCAACUUUAUAAAAGAGAACAUUUUAUUGUUACUGGUGACUGCCCUGAAGUAUGCUCUCUGCCUCCCUCUGGUGGCAGAGCUUGGAUAUACGUUUAACACUAAGACGGUGUUUUUGUAUUAUAUAUUUCAAUAAAUAAAACUCCAACGAGCAUUAGGAUGACAAGCAGUGAAUUACCAGGUACUUGCGUACAGGUAUGGGGAAUCAUCAAGUAGCAACUUUGUUUACAUGGUAGAAAAAAA
rnacentral:lncRNA from 1 species